rnacentral:rRNA from 1 species
UAGGGAAUCUUCCACAAUGGGUGCAAACCUGAUGGAGCAAUGCCGCGUGAGUGAAGANNNGUCUUCGGAUCGUAAAGCUCUGUUGUUAGAGAAGAACACGUGCUAGGUAACUACUAGCGCCUUGACGGUAUCUAACCAGAAAGUCACGGCUAACUACGUGCCAGCAGCCGCGGUAAUACGUAGGUGACAAGCGUUGUCCGGAUUUAUUGGGCGUAAAGGGAGCGCAGACGGUCUGUUUAGUCUAAUGUGAAAGCCCACGGCUUAACCGUGGAACGGCAUUGGAAACUGACAGACUUGAAUGUAGAAGAGGAAAAUGGAAUUCCAAGUGUAGCGGUGGAAUGCGUAGAUAUUUGGAGGAACACCAGUGGCGAAGGCGAUUUUCUGGUCUAACAUUGACGCUGAGGCUCGAAAGCGUGGGGAGCGAACAGGAUUAGAUACCCUGGUAGUCCACGCCGUAAACGAUGAGUGCUAAGUGUUGGGGGCUUUCCGGCCCUCGGUGCUGGAGCUAACGUAUUAAGCACUCCGCCUGGGGAUUACGACCGCAAGGUUG